rnacentral:piRNA from 1 species
AGGCAGUUUACUGUAAUUGACGGUCCU